AACGCAAGUUGCGCCCGAAGCCAUUAGGCCGAGGGCACGCCUGCCUGGGUGUCACACACUGUUACCCCCACGCAAAGGUCCGCUGUCGGCCCGUGCGUGGGGUGUAUGCUGACCUCCCGCGAGCGGUGUCCCGUGGCUGGUUGAAAAUCGAGUUCACGGUCGGGUGCGCCGUGAUAAAAUGGUGGACGGGCAACGCCCGAGGCCGAUCACGCGCGAUCCCUUCCGGUGAGACCCUUGGACCCUGCGGCGUCUUCGGAUGCUCUUAGCGAGACCUCAGGUCAGGCGGGGCUACCCGCUGAGUUUAA
rnacentral:misc_RNA from 1 species